rnacentral:rRNA from 1 species
UACGUAGGGACCAAGCGUUGUUCGGAUUUACCGGGCGUAAAGGGCGCGUAGGCGGCAUAUUAAGUCAGCUGUGAAAUCUCCGAGCUUAACUCGGAACUGUCAGCUGAUACUGAUGUGCUAGAGUGCAGAAGGGGCAAUCGGAAUUCUUGGUGUAGCGGUGAAAUGCGUAGAUAUCAAGAGGAACACCUGAGGUGAAGACGGGUUGCUGGGCUGACACUGACGCUGAGUGCGCGAAAGCCAGGGGAGCAAACGGG